rnacentral:rRNA from 1 species
CCCUUAGAUGUUCUGGGCCGCACGCGUGCUACACUGAGUAAUUCAAUGGGUAAGGGAACGCUAGAGCAUUACCUAAUCUUGAAAUUUGCUCGUGAUGGGGAUCGACGGUUGCAAUUUUCCGUCGUGAACGAGGAAUACCUUGUAGGCGCAUGUCAUCAUCAUGCGCCGAAUACGUCCCUGCCCUUUGUACACACCGCCCAUCGCUCCUACCGAUUGAGUGAUCCGGUGAGGCUCUGGGACCUGGACGGAAAGAGCGUUUCGCUUGUUCUGUUUGGGAAACUUGGUCGAACCUUAUCAUUUAGAGGAAGGAGAAGUCGUAACA